rnacentral:rRNA from 1 species
GAUGAACGCUGACAGAAUGCUUAACACAUGCAAGUCAACUUGAACUUCGGUUUGGGUGGCGGACGGGUGAGUAACGCGUAAAGAACUUGCCUCACAGAUAGGGACAACAUUUGGAAACGAAUGCUAAUACCUGAUAUUAUGAUUAUAUGGCAUCGUAUAAUUAUGAAAGCUAUAUGCGCUGUGAGAGAGCUUUGCGUCCCAUUAGCUAGUUGGAGAGGUAACGGCUCACCAAGGCGAUGAUGGGUAGCCGGCCUGAGAGGGUGAUCGGCCACAAGGGGACUGAGACACGGCCCUUACUCCUACGGGAAGCAGCAGUGGGGAAUAUUGGACAAUGGACCAAGAGUCUGAUCCAGCAAUUCUGUGUGCACAAUGAAGUUUUUCGGAAUGUAAAGUGCUUUCAGUUGGGAAGAAAAAAAUGACGGUACCAACAGAAGAAGUGACGGCUAAAUACGUG